rnacentral:rRNA from 1 species
UACGUAGGCAGCAAGCGUUGUUCGGAGUUACUGGGCGUAAAGGGUGCGUAGGCGGCUUUUUAAGUUUGGUGUGAAAUCUCCCGGCUCAACUGGGAGGGUGCGCCGAAUACUGAGAGGCUAGAGUGCGGGAGAGGAAAGUGGAAUUCCUGGUGUAGCGGUGAAAUGCGUAGAUAUCAGGAGGAACACCGGUGGUGUAAACGGCUUUCUGGACCGUAACUGACGCUGGAGGCACGAAAGCGUGGGUAGCAAACAGG